rnacentral:rRNA from 1 species
AGAAUCAACGCUGGCGGCGUGCCUAACACAUGCAAGUCGAACGAGAAAGUGGAGCAAUCCAUGAGUAAAGUGGCGCACGGGUGAGUAACACGUGACUAACCUACCCUUGAGUGGGGGAUAACCUCGGGAAACCGGGCUAAUACCGCAUAACAUCGAGAGAUCAAAGGAGCAAUUCGCUUAAGGAGGGGGUCGCGGCUGAUUAGCUAGUUGGUGAGGUAAUGGCUCACCAAGGCUAUGAUCAGUAUCCGGCCUGAGAGGGCGCACGGACACACUGGAACUGAAACACGGUCCAGACUCCUACGGAGGCAGCAGUGGGGAAUUUUGCGCAAUGGGGGAAACCCUGACGCAGCAACGCCGCGUGGAGGAUGAAGUCCCUUGGGACGUAAACUCCUUUCGAUCGGGACGAUAAUGACGGUACCGGAAGAAGAAGCCCGGCUAACUUCGUGCCAGCAGCCGC